UAACACGUGGGGAACCUGCCCCUAAGUCUGGGAUACCAUUUGGAAACAGGUGCUAAUACCGGAUAAUAAAGCAGAUCGCAUGAUCAGCUUUUGAAAGGCGGCGUAAGCUGUCGCUAAGGGAUGGCCCCGCGGUGCAUUAGCUAGUUGGUAAGGUAACGGCUUACCAAGGCGACGAUGCAUAGCCGAGUUGAGAGACUGAUCGGCCACAUUGGGACUGAGACACGGCCCAAACUCCUACGGGAGGCAGCAGCA
rnacentral:rRNA from 1 species